CCUCUCUCUCACUCUGGCUCCUCUCUCUCUCACACACCCUCUCUCUCUCAUAACUCCCUCCCUCUCUACCUCAUUUCUCCUUUUUUUUUCCUUUCUGAUCUCGUUCAUUUUUCUUCGAUUGAAGUUUUAGGGCUGAUUUCGAGUGGGGAUUGAAGCCCAGAGUGGGAUCUAGUUUGCUUGUGCAUUCUAGGUUUGGUUGUGUUGGAGCAGUGAGUCGGUAGAGGAUUCGAGAGGAUCUGUUUUGUGCCCUGUUCAGUGCGGAGCUUGACCAGGUAUCAAGUACUAGGCUGGGGCGCUGGAGUUCAGGCGGAAGGAGCCUGCUCGCCGGCGAGUCGGCUGGCAAGUGCCGCACACUGAGACGCGACGGAUUUGGCGCGGGGCGCUCGGGCGGAGGACACCUGCUCGCCAGCGAGCGCCACUGGCGACACGCACGCGAAAGGGCGCCGCGCCUAAACGGAGGACGCGAGCUGGGUGAGGCUCUUGAUGACCUGACUCCUGCUGCUGACUCCUCGUGUCAGUUUGGUCGUGCAUGCAGUCUCGCUGGCCCCGUUGCUCUGGAGAUUGAUGGGCCAUCAAGCCUUGUCUUUGUAGCUUGCAAUAAGACGUAGCCUUUGCUAGUGACUAUGCGCUGAUGAUUCACGGUG